AAUUUGUGCCUUUCUGAGU
rnacentral:miRNA from 1 species